rnacentral:lncRNA from 1 species
GUGUGACUUCGGCCAUCGCUCUGGUAGUCCCGGUAGCUGACGAACUCCUGCCAAGGGCAGCGGUAGCCCUUGGAGAUGGCGGUGUGGUUGAACUUCUCUGGCGGGACGCCCUUCAGCGGCUCCGCAUAGCCUAGGGGCGCGGGGGGAAGGGAGCGCCUCCGUUCUUCCACCCUCAGCCCCCAACCCCACCUCGCCCCACCCCCAUUCCGCGGACGCGGUUGGAGGAGGGAAGAUCGGAGUUAGGGGAGAGGACGGCGGGAAUGGGAAGCCACAGUUGCUCCAGCACAGGAGACCCCUCCCCAUCCCAGGAAACACGGAGGACUGCAGUGAGGAAGCCACGAGUUCGCAGCGCGGGGAGAGAUGCCUAAAAAGAUAACACUUUUCAAGGAUCACACUGAAAGGCAGGAGCCUAAUCUGAUGGGAACAUCACAGUCCUCAGCCUGGCUUACCGUUUGACUUUAGGCUAACCAGUGGCUCUCUGUGGUCCUCAUUUUCCCCAUGAGCACAAUGGUGGCUUACUCACCGCCCGCUGGCUGGCUGCUAACUCGAAAGUGAACUUCUGCACACGGCGCUGCCUCUUCUGGAAGAGGAGGGACCCUCUGUUGUUGCGUAGUGACAGCUCCUCCAUCAUCAGGUCUUUGCCCAUAAUGGUGGAGGUAGUGAGAAAUGGUCAGAUUCUCGAUAUUUUUUAAAGCUCCAUAAAUGGUAUUUUAAGCUGGGAGGCUGGAUGAGAUCAUAAAGAAAUGAGAAUAGGUAAAGAGGAUCAGAGACGGAGCCUGGGGCCUCCAACAUUUACAGUGAGGCGGUGAGGAGGAACCAAGCCAGGAGCCUGGGCAGGAGCAGCCCACAACAUAGGAAGAAACUAAAGAGGAUGGCAUCCUGGAAAUAAAUGAUGAAAGCAUUUCAGUUUCUAUGGAGUGUUUGGGUGUGAAAGCCUAACUGGAGAGGGUUCAAGAGAAAAUGGACAGAAGAACAAGUUUAACCACACCAUGAGGAAGCGAUAAGCCAAAUCCAGGACGCAGGACAUUCUACAGGACAACUGGCCUGGUUUUUCAAACAAACGAGUUUCACUCUUGUUGCCCAGGCUGGAGUGCAAUGGCAUGAUCUCGGCUCACUGCAACCUCUGCCUCCCGGGUUCAAGCGAUUCUCCUGCCUCAGCCUCCCGAGUAGCUGGAAUUGCAGGCAUGCACCAUCACGCCUGGCUAAUUUUGUAUUUAUAGUAGAGAUGGGGUUUCUCCAUGUUGGUCAGGCUGGUCUCGAGCUCCCAACCUCAGGUCAUCCGCUUGCCUCAGUCUCCCAAAGUGCUGGGAUUACAGGCGUGAGCCACCUCCCCCAGCUGAGCUCAAUAUUUAAAAAAAAAAAAUGGCAGGCACAGUGGCUCACAACUAUAAUCCCAGCACUUGCAGAGGGCAAAGUGGGUGGAUUGCUUGGGCCCAGGAGUUCAAGACCAGCCUGGGCAAUAUAGCAAGACCCUGUCUCUAUUAAAAAAUAAAAAAAGAUAAAAUCUAUUUGACUGAGUAUUUCUAUUUCUAGGAAUUUAUUCUCGGGGAAAAAGUUGAAUAAAUAUGUCCAAAGAUA